GGGGGCUGAGGGCAAAGAAAAGAAAAAAAGGAAAAGAGGAGAGGGAGACUUCUCCAACUUGUGCAAGUAGAGGAGGGAGGAAAUUAGGGCUUCCGGUUUAUUGCUGGGGCAAAGAGAGGAAGAUAAGGAUAGAGAAAGGAAGAAGCGGAUAGCAGGGGAGAGGUAGAAGACGGUUUGCAGGUGGUCGGGAAAUAAAGAGAAGUGACAGAGGGAGAAGAGUUUCUUUCUCCCAUUCCUUUCAUUUAGUGCACAGAGAGAUCUGAGGGGACUUUGGAGAAAACCCCAGCAGCUAGCAAGGCAGGAGAAAACUCCAAGACAGCCAUUAUUAGCUCAUCACUCUUCAUGAAGAUAUCCUUCCUUGCUGCCAUUGAUUGUCCGUAGUCAACUCACUACCACCUUGUGGCACAAAAAUGCUCUCAACAGAAGAUACCACAAUUACUUCGACAUUGCUGGAUAAAGAGCGUGUGUCGAUCCAUUAUUGGAAGCUCAAAGCCAAUGAAAGCUGGCUGGUACAAAGACCUGAAUCUCCAUCAUCCAUGAUGACAAGGAGGGGGAUAUAAUCGAAAGGCCAUUGGUUUUGCUUGUUAUUCUUAGAUGAAUUGUUUCAUUGACUAGUCCAUAGCAUGUAAUCUUGCUUUAGUGGUUGCACUGCAACUGCACUCAACAUGACUGUACCAAAAGCUUUAUAUGUUGAUUGUUUCUGUAAGUGGAGGGAAAGGAGCCAUAGAUGACUGACCUUGACUUUCUAUACACAGAGACAUCCACUUAUACUGGUUAUGAUUUAUGAUGCAACU